AGCCGCCGCGGUAAUACGUAGGGUGCGAGCGUUAAUCUGAUUUACUGGGCGUAAAGCGUGCGCAGGCGGCCCGUUAAGACAGGUGUGAAAUCCCUGGGCUCAACCUAGGAAUUGCGCUUGUGACUGGCGGGCUCGAGGACGGGAGAGGGGGGUGGAAGUCCUGGGGUUGCAGUGAAAUGCGUAGAGAUCAGGAGGAACACCGAUGGCGAAGGCAGCCCCCUGGGCCGGUACUGACGCUCAUGCACGAAAGCGUGGGGAGCAAACAGGAUUAGAUACCCUGGUAGUCCACGCCGUAAACGAUGGGUACUAGCCGUUUGGUGCGCGAUAGCGCUGAGUGGCGAAGCUAACGCGUGAAGUCCCCCGCCUGGGGAGUACGGCCGCAAGGUUGAAACUUAAAGGAAUUGGCGGG
rnacentral:rRNA from 1 species